CAGCAGCCGCGGUAAGACAGAGGAUGCAAGCGUUAUCCGGAAUGAUUGGGCGUAAAGCGUCUGUAGGUGGCUUUUCAAGUCCGCCGUCAAAUCCCAGGGCUCAACCCUGGACAGGCGGUGGAAACUACCAAGCUGGAGUACGGUAGGGGCAGAGGGAAUUUCCGGUGGAGCGGUGAAAUGCGUAGAUAUGCGGAGGAACACCGAUGGCGAAGGCAAUCCCCGGGGCCUGCACUGACGCUCAUGCACGAAUGCGUGGGGAGCAAACAGGAUUAGAUACCCGCGUAGUCCCUGUCUCUUAUAC
rnacentral:rRNA from 1 species